UACGUAGGUGGCAAGCGUUGUCCGGAUUUAUUGGGUUUAAAGGGUGCGUAGGCGGUUCUGUAAGUCAGUGGUGAAAUCCGGCAGCUCAACUGUCGAUGUGCCAUUGAUACUGCAGAACUUGAGUACAGACGAGGUAGGCGGAAUUGACGGUGUAGCGGUGAAAUGCUUAGAUAUCGUCAAGAACACCGAUAGCGAAAGGCAGCUUACUAGACUGUAACUGACGCUGAUGCACGAAAGUGUGGGGAUCAAACAGG
rnacentral:rRNA from 1 species